AAGACUGUACUUUCAGGGAUUGUUUCUAAAGUUUGUCACUAGAGAAGUUUCUCUAAGUGUGGAGUCCCUGAAAGCAUGAGGAGGAGGAAUAGUGUCCCUUCCUGUGAAGCUGACUCUGGGUGUUGUUUCUACAGCUGCCCUUGUCAUUGAUGAUUGUUCCCUCCUCCUUUGGGGGACUAAGAGGAAAGUGGCCCGUUGUCUGAGUAGU
ensembl:snoRNA U3 Small nucleolar RNA U3